rnacentral:rRNA from 1 species
UACGAAGGGGGCUAGCGUUGCUCGGAAUCACUGGGCGUAAAGCGCACGUAGGCGGAUUGCUAAGUCAGGGGUGAAAUCCUGGAGCUCAACUCCAGAACUGCCUUUGAUACUGGCGAUCUUGAGUCCGGGAGAGGUGAGUGGAACUGCGAGUGUAGAGGUGAAAUUCGUAGAUAUUCGCAAGAACACCAGUGGCGAAGGCGGCUCACUGGCCCGUACUGACGCUGAGGAGCGAAAGCGUGGGGAGCGAACAGG